AUUGAACGCUGGCGGCAUGCCUUACACAUGCAAGUCGAACGGCAGCACGGGUGCUUGCACCUGGUGGCGAGUGGCGAACGGGUGAGUAAUACAUCGGAACGUACCUUAUCGUGGGGGAUAACGCAGCGAAAGCUGUGCUAAUACCGCAUACGCCCUGAGGGGGAAAGCGGGGGAUCGCAAGACCUCGCGCGAUUAGAGCGGCCGAUGCCUGAUUAGCUUGUUGGUGGGGUAAAAGCCCACCAAGGCGACGAUCAGUAGCUGGUCUGAGAGGACGAUCAGCCACACUGGGACUGAGACACGGCCCAGACUCCUACGGGAGGCAGCAGUGGGGAAUUUUGGACAAUGGGGGCAACCCUGAUCCAGCAAUGCCGCGUGAGUGAAGAAGGCCUUCGGGUUGUAAAGCUCUUUUGUCUGGGAAGAAACACCGGCUCUAACACAGUCCGGGAAUGACGGUACCUGAAGAAUAAGCACCGGCUAACUACGUGCCAGCAGCAGCCGCCG
rnacentral:rRNA from 1 species